AGCGGUUUGAUGUAAAAGUAAACAUAUUCGACUCAUGAUCGAAAUAUAUAGGUGCAAUCCCUAUGGCCGCAU
rnacentral:tRNA from 1 species